UUACAGGCACGAGCCACCACACCCAGCUCAUUUUAAGAAAAAUAAAAGUUGAAAGUAACCUCUUACAGCAGAUUUCACCUUUUAGUGAAUGUAAGAAUCAACAAGUUUGCUGAAAAUGCAUAUUUCCAAACCUCAACAUAAUAAUUUGAUUUCAGCAGAUCUGGAGUAGAGUGCAAGGAUCUACACUUAAUAACAAUGCACUAAAGCCCAACUUCCUCCUGAGAAUUCCACUAAAAGCUGCUCUUCAGCAAUAUCCUAUGGAAGGCCAAUCAGCUAAAUGACUACAUCAUAAUCUCUGGCCUCACUGCACCUGAAAAUAAGUGACCACAUGCUUGGCCCCCCUAUACACACAGUAUGGAUUUGUUGCUGGGAAGUGGUUGUCCACCCAGGGAUUACAAUACCCAGCCCACCAUACAUCUAGGUAUCGGCAUGAAAGAGGUUCACACCAAUAGAAUGUGAGCAAAAGUGGUGUGUAUCAUAUAUAAGCCAAGAUUUUUCAGAAGAAGCUGUACCUUCUCUAAGCUGUCUUUCUCUUUUGUCUCAUGGUUAGAUACAAAUAACAAUAAAACCCUAAGAAAUUACAAAGGCCCCAAACAGAGGAGAAACAAAUCUCUGAAUUAUUUCACAGAGAACGGCCUACCAACUAUGAACAUUUGCUUCAGAAUGUUAAAUGAAUAAAAAUGAACUUCUAUUAGGUAAAGUCACUAAAUUUGGGGGUUACUUAUAAGCAUCAUCCUAAUAUAUCAGGCAUGUGUGUAUAUAAACAACUGUUUAACUGCAUAUACAUGUAUAUAUUCAUUUAAUCAACAAAAUGUAUUGAAAAUCCAUUAUAUGCUCAAGAUACAAUCAUGAGCAAAACCAUACGCAAUCCUUAUCCUCAUGAAUCUCAGAAUUAUUGAAGCAUGUGUGUAUAAAUGUAGGUUUUUCUAUGUGGAGUACUUGAACAGGGUAGGGUAGACAAUGAAAUAAUAUAAAUGAGUAAGUAGAACUUUCACUUCCAAUUAAGAUAGAGGAAUAGGGAUUAGAUUUACCACCUGUCUGACACAAUUAAAACUCUGAAAAAAUAUAAGGAACAACAAUGUGAAGCAUUUGAUAUUAGGCAAUAAAAGACAGUGAUCCCCCAGAAAUGAAAAAUAAAAGGUGUACCCCAGAUUUGCCCCAGCUUAUUAUCUGAAGAGAUGAAACAGUUAUUAGAAACAAAACAUUUAUUAAACUGUAUCCCAACAUAUUAAGCAGAGCCAAGUAAAAUAUAAAAAAGAUCCAAAUCAAACUUCGAGAUGAAAACUACAAUGUCUAGUUUAAAAAUAUACUGUAUGAGAUUAACAGAUUAGAUAUUUCAGAAGUAAAGAGUAGUGACUUUGAACACAUAGGAAUAGAAACUAUCCACAAUGCAACAGAGAGAGGAAAAAAGGAUUUUAAAAUGAAAGACUAUAACACCAGUGAGCUGUGAGAUAAGUUUAAGCCAUCUAAUGUACACGUAAUAGGAAUCCAGAGGAAAGAAGAGACAGAGGAAGAAUGGAAAACUUUUUGAAGAUAUAAAGGUCAAAAUUUCCCAAAUUUUAUGAAAACUAACAACCUACAGCUUCAAGAAGCUCAACAAAUCCCAAGCAUAAGAAAGCUGAAGAAAACGAUACCAAAGCAAAUCAUAAUCACAUGGCUUAUGCCAGUGAAAGAGGACUCUCAUAAGCAGCCAGAGAGAAAAGACCUAACAUGCAGAGGAACAAAGGUAAGGGUAACAGCAGACUUCUUGUGAGAAACAAUGUACAUGCUUGAAGACACUGAAGAAACAUCUUUACAGUACUGAAAGAAAAAAAAAAGAUCAAUCUUAAAUUCUUUACUCAGUGAAAAUAUCUUUCAAAACACAGAUAUACGAAAGCUAAAAGAAUUUAUCACCAUCAAACAUGCACAACAAAAAUGUAAAAGGAUGUCCUUCAAGCCAAAGGAAAAAUGAUACCAGUUGGAAAUCUGGAUCCACAUGAAGAAAUAAAUACCAAAGGAAUGAACACACAGAUGCCCAUGUAGCUAACAUUUCUGGUGUUUAUCUAUGUAAAGAAAUAUGAUUCUUUGUUAUUAUUUAAAUCUCUUUAAAAGAUAACACUGUUUAAUGCAAAAAAAAUAGUGUCUUGUGGGGUUUAAACACACAAAGAAGUAAAACAUACAACAACUAUUACACAAAAACUGGGGGGGGGGG